rnacentral:rRNA from 1 species
GACGAACGCUGGCGGCGUGCUUAACACAUGCAAGUCGAACGGAAAGGCCUGCAGCUUGCUGCGGGUACUCGAGUGGCGAACGGGUGAGUAACACGUGGGUGAUCUGCCUUGCACUUCGGGAUAAGCUUGGGAAACUGGGUCUAAUACCGGAUAGGACAGCUGUUUAGUGUCAGUUGUGGAAAGUUUUUUCGGUGCAAGAUGAGCUUGCGGCCUAUCAGCUUGUUGGUGGGGUAAUGGCCUACCAAGGCGUCGACGGGUAGCCGGCCUGAGAGGGUGUACGGCCACAUUGGGACUGAGAUACGGCCCAGACUCCUACGGGAGGCAGCAGUGGGGAAUAUUGCACAAUGGGCGGAAGCCUGAUGCAGCGACGCCGCGUGGGGGAUGAAGGCCUUCGGGUUGUAAACUCCUUUCGACAGGGACGAAGCGUAAGUGACGGUACCUGUAUAAGAAGCACCGGCUAACUACGUGCCAGCAGCCGCGGUAAUACGUAGGGUGCGAGCGUUGUCCGGAAUUACUGGGCGUAAAGAGCUCGUAGGUGGUUUGUCGCGUCGUCUGUGAAAUUCCGGGGCUUAACUCCGGGCGUGCAGGCGAUACGGGCUGACUUGAGUGCUGUAGGGGAGACUGGAAUUCCUGGUGUAGCGGUGAAAUGCGCAGAUAUCAGGAGGAACACCGAUGGCGAAGGCAGGUCUCUGGGCAGUAACUGACGCUGAGGAGCGAAAGCAUGGGUAGCGAACAGG